AGGAAGGUAUUUGAUGAACGGAUGUGUACAACGAGGAAAAACAUGGGAUUGUAUUGAUAAAAUUUAAAAAUGGAAUAAAGUGUUACAAAUGAAAUUGUUUCCCUUGAAAUAUAUCCAGGUCUACGCACAAUGGAGCCAAGAUAUGACUACCUAUUCAAACUGUUACUUAUUGGUGACCCUGGAGUUGGAAAGACCUCGCUUCUUCUGCAAUUUGGAGAUGGCACAUACUCAGAGAAUCAUAUAGGAAUAGAUUUUAAACUACGAACAAUAAAACAAGACAGCAAAAUUAUAAAGUUGCAAAUAUGGAACACUGCCGGUCAGGAAAGAUUCCGAACUAUUACAUCUAGUUACUACAGAGGUGCCCGCGGCCUGUUUGUUGUUUAUGACGUCACAAACCAGGUAAACGUAACAUUUUGUGUUUGGAAAUUAAUAAUAGGGUUAAACAAACACGGUAAAGAAUUAUUUGGAAUUUUAAGAAACCUUGCUUGUAGAUAUUAUGUUAUACUAGCAAUGUGUUUUAUUCUGAGCAAUAUUCAUUUUUGCGAGUUUGUUAAUGAAACCUCAAAACUGACCGAAGCAUAGGAGUUUUUGUAGCUGACAAUGGGCUUAUGAAGGAGUAUGUUACAUUAAUGAAUUGAAAAUUAUUAAGAUUGUGCGAACAGUUCAAAAGAUGGAUAUGAAACUAGCUACAGGUCUUUAGUUCCCGGUCUUAAACAUUCGAAUGAAAAACCUGAGGGCUACAGUGCCAACCAAUGAAAAAAAUUGUGUAUUUAUUGCACACAAAAACGGGCGCUUGUUUUGGACUGAUCAGCCUUAUUUAUAUGCAAAUUCUGUAAAAACAAUAAGUACAAUUCUAUUCUUUAUAAAUCCAUUAUCUAUCUCCGUAAGUAAUCUGUUUUCGUUCAUGUGAAUUUUUCCGAGUGAAAAAUAAUAAUGUGUGAAUGAAGUUAUCUUGGCUAUUUUCCUAUUAUCAAUUUCAAAAGCACUUCUUUCACAGAUUUGUGUGUUGUUAUCAAAGAUUGUCCGAAUGUGAUGCAUAAAUACCUUAAGACAGACUUUAAUUAUGAAAGAUUUUAUUUUAUCAUGAGACAUUUUUUGUUUCAGUUAACUUUCAACAAUUUGAAUGAAUGGUUUGAUGAAAUUGAUAAACAUGUCAGUAAAGAUGUCAUAAAGAUACUUAUUGGCAACAAAAUGGAUAUGGAGACAGACAAAGUUGUAGAUUAUACCGCAGCAGAGGUCAGUAUAUUUAAAUGUUUUAUUUAAACAUUUCUUCAUUCAGCUGUCUUUAAGAUAUAAUGUUUAUAGUUGUUUUUUGUUAUAAAGCAACACUAAUUAUAACGUAAUUUUUAAAACAAUGAAAUGUGUCUUUCUGAUAAACAUGUGAUGGAAAAGGAUAUUCAAUGUAACCGUUUCGACAAAACAUGCAUGUGUACAUUUCUAAUCACGUAACAUGCUUUGUUAUUUUGAUUUAUUCUCUAUGUAAUAUUUAUCAACGUAUUUAAUCAUUGUUAGGAAUAUGCUAAACAGUUAGAAGUCCCAUUUUUGGAGACCAGUGCCAAGGACGGUACUAAUGUAGAACAAGCUUUGAUGACAAUGGCCACAGAAAUCAAGAACAGAAUGGGACCAGUUCCCUCAGACUCACCCGAUAGCAGGCCAAGUGUUAAAAUUAACGCUAGCAACCCUGUCAAGCAAUCAAGGGGUUGUCAUUGACUGUAGUCAGUGUAUAUUUAAUAUCAUCAUGACCUGUUAUGCGAGUGGCAUUUAGUUUAGGUCUGCUGAUUGUAUGCAAUUAUUUCUUGCCAAAUUAGGAAAGAGUCUCUAAUGAGAGGGCCCAGGAAACUGUUGAUUGAUGCAGUCGGCCGAAGACAACUAAACAGUUUUCUGUAUCUUCUUCAUUACCGAGCCCAUUAGUUUUAUAUUGAUGUCCUAUUGUUGAUUUAUAACAUAAUCUACUUCGAUUUGACGGCAUAACAGUUUGUUGAUUGACCGGGAAAUAGUGACUGGGUUACAUUUUGCACGUGAUUUGAUAAUUAUAGUAAUCCAUGUGAUAAUCUGUUUCACCCCUUCUUGUUUUGUCUAUGUUUCUUCGUUAAUUAAA
rnacentral:misc_RNA from 1 species